rfam:Triticum aestivum genome assembly, contig: Triticum_aestivum_CS42_TGACv1_scaffold_603888_7DL
CAACUACUCCCUCUGUCCCAAAUUUCUUGUCUUAGAUUUGUCGAGAUACGGAUGUAUCUAAUACUAAAAUGUGACUUGAUACGUCCGUAUCUAGUCAGAUCUAAGACAAGAAUUUUGGGACGGAGGGAGUACUUU